ACGGUCCUAAGGUAGCGAAAUUCCUUGUCGGGUAAGUUCCGACCCGCACGAAAGGUGUAACGAUUUGGGCACUGUCUCAACGAGGGACCCGGUGAAAUUGAAAUACCUGUGAAGAUGCAGGUUACCCGCGACUGGACAGAAAGACCCCAUGGAGCUUUACUGUAACCUGACAUUGGGUUUUGAUACAUUACGUACAGGAUAGGUGGGAGGCAUGGAAAGCUGGACGCUAGUCUGGCUGGAGCCGACGUUGGGAUACCACCCUUGAUGUAUUGAAAUUCUAACCGCGAGAGUAACGAAAUCCGGGACAGUGUCAGGCGGGCAGUUUGACUGGGGCGGUCGCCUCCGAAAGAGUAACGGAGGCGCCCAAAGGUUCCCUCAGCGCGGCCGGAAAUCGCGCGAAGAGUGUAAAGGCAGAAGGGAGCUUGACUGCGAGUCAAACACGACGAGCAGGUACGAAAGUAGGGCUUAGUGAUCCGGUGGUACCGAGUGGAAGGGCCAUCGCUCAACGGAUAAAAGCUACCCUGGGGAUAACAGGCUAAUCUCUCCCAAGAGUCCAUAUCGACGGGGAGGUUUGGCACCUCGAUGUCGGCUCAUCACAUCCUGGGGCUGAAGUCGGUCCCAAGGGUUGGGCUGUUCGCCCAUUAAAGUGGUACGUGAGCUGGGUUCAGAACGUCGUGAGACAGUUCGGUCCCUAUCCAUCGCGGGCGCAAGAGAUUUGAAGGGGGCUGCUCCUAGUACGAGAGGACCGGAGUGGACGAACCGCUGGUGUACCAAUUAUCCCGCCAGGGGUACAGUUGGGUAGCUACGUUCGGAAAGGAUAAACGCUGAAAGCAUCUAAGCGUGAAACCAGCCUUAAGAUGAGAUCUCUCAUAGAGUAAUCUAGUAAGACACCUUAAAGAAGAUGAGGUUGAUAGGUCGGGAGUGUAAGUACAGCAAUGUAUUGAGCGGACCGAUACUAAUAUGUCGAGGGCUUGACUUA
rnacentral:rRNA from 1 species